AGAGAGUCAGCACAGAGCUGGAUGUCAGUUAAAGUAACUGUGUCAGGAGCUGACAGCUCUUCAUCUCCUGUGUGGUUGAUUGUUGGACUGGUUUGUGGAGUCUCUCUCAUUAUUAUUCUCCUGCUCUUGUUGUAUCGCUGCAGACAGUCCAAGUAUUCCUGCUUCACCAGGU